GGAGAGGUGGUCGAGUGGUUUAUGGCUCCGGUCUUGAAAACCGGCGUUCCCAAAAGGAACCGUGGGUUCGAAUCCCACCCUCUCCG
rnacentral:tRNA from 1 species